GGUUCAGUAGCUCAGUCGGUAGAGCAUGUGAUUGAAGCUCACAGUGUCGGCGGUUCGAUUCCGUCCUGAACCACCA
rnacentral:tRNA from 6 species